UACGGAGGGAGCUAGCGUUAUUCGGAAUUACUGGGCGUAAAGCGCACGUAGGCGGCUAUCCAAGUCAGAGGUGAAAGCCUGGAGCUCAACUCCAGAACUGCCUUUGAAACUAGAUGGCUUGAAUCCAGGAGAGGUGAGUGGAAUUCCGAGUGUAGAGGUGAAAUUCGUAGAUAUUCGGAAGAACACCAGUGGCGAAGGCGGCUCACUGGACUGGUAUUGACGCUGAAGUGCGAAAGCGUGGGGAGCAAACAGG
rnacentral:rRNA from 1 species